GAGCCUCCCUCCCCACUGCUGCCGCACAAGACAGUGAGAACGACCCACAGGACCACAGAGAGACAUGAAGAGCCUGCUCCUUCUCUCAAUUCUGGCUGCCUUGGCCAUGGCAGCUUUAUGUUAUGAUUCCUGUAUUCAACUUAUUAGGCAAGUUCUUUCUAUGAAUCUCACGAAAGCUUGGAAUCCUAUGAACUUAAUCCCUUCCUUAACAGGAGAAAUGCUAAUACCUUUAUGACUCCGCAGCAGAGAUGGAGAGCUAGAGCCCAAGAAAGGAUCCGAGAAAGCACCAAGCCUGCCCAUGAGCUCAACCGGGAAGCCUGUGAGGACUUCAAACUUUGCGAACGCUAUGCUAUGGUUUACGGAUACGAUGCUGCCUACAAUCGCUAUUUCCGGCAGCGCCGAUGGGAAAAAUGAGAUUGGGAAACGUCUCUUUCUUUCCAGAGCCUGGUGCCUGGUUUUGUAUUCCCUUGCAGUAGCAUCACUGAACUAUAUAGACACACACAAAUUGCUUGUUUCUUAAAUGUUCUCGUCUGGCUGCACCCGUCCUUCCUGCCCGCAUUGAUGAGUAGUGAAAGUGCAGUGUAGUGAAGGUUGAAGGGGAGUUAAGAUGUGUAAUUACUACACAAUAAACUUCUGGUUGGAUCCUUUCAUUUUGUGAGUCUGAUUCUUCUGGGAAAAUGCUGAGAUGUUUAAAUCACAGCCAUCUAACCCAGAAUAGGAGAUUCUGUCAGUCAUGUUCUAGUGUCAAUCAGAAGCAAAACUAUAUAGGAAUAAUGAACUUUAGAAGACAUUCACCCAGCCCUAAUUUGUCUAGACUCUCUCUGCCUUGGUAUCAGUAAAUGAUUGCUUUCUAUUAUGUGUUUUCCAGGAUUUUCAAACAUCAUAGACACUUAACCAUUUUAUUUUCCUGCUCCCAAACUUUAAAUGGCUCCUAAAUUCCUUCCGUGUGUGACUCUGUAUCCUGGCUCAUCACCCUCAUGUGAAAGUUAUCAGUUCCUAAGAUGCUACACUUUCCACUCUUACUUGUACAGAGAAAAUAUUUGCUUUCAUAAUCACCAGUGAUGUUAAAAUGACACAUCCGUGGAAUUUUGGAGCCAGACAUGAUGCUAGAGGUCCUUUAGGCCUGAUUUGCUGAGGAGUAAAUGAGGCUCCGAAGUCUUCCCUCCUUGGUUGUUAAGAAUAGAAGCCAGCACUUCUCAGUGUCAAUUCAGACUUUGUUCUUUUCUGCCAUGUACACUUGUCAAGCCCACCUUUUACAUCCAUUCCUUCUGGUAGGUCCACUGUAUAUCUCUUUAGUGGAGUGUCUUUCCACUCCUUCAAAAUCCUACUCAAAACUCAAGUACUUUAUGAAAUCAGUAAUGAUUAAAACUACUCACCUUGUAUCAGUAUUCAGCCUUUUGAGAAUGAUG
rnacentral:lncRNA from 1 species